rnacentral:rRNA from 1 species
CAGUAGCCGCGGUAAUACGUAGGUGGCAAGCGUUAGGCGGAAUCACUGGGCUUAAAGCGUGUGUAGGCGGAUGCCUAAGUACCUUGUGAAAUCCCACGGCUUAACCGUGGAACUGCUCGGUAUACUGGGUGUCUUGAGCUGUCUAGGGGCUACCGGAACAAAUGGUGGAGCGGUGAAAUGCGUAGAUAUCAUUUGGAACGCCAAUGGUGAAAACAGGUAGCUGGGGACAUGCUGGCGCUGAGACACGAAAGCUAGGGGAGCGAACGGGAUUAGAGACCCCCGUAGUCCCUGUCUCUUAUAC